rnacentral:rRNA from 1 species
CCACCCUUUAAUGUUUGAUGUUCUAACGUGGACCCGUAAUCCGGGUUGCGGACAGUGUCUGGUGGGUAGUUUGACUGGGGCGGUCUCCUCCUAAAGAGUAACGGAGGAGCACGAAGGUUGGCUAAUCCUGGUCGGACAUCAGGAGGUUAGUGCAAUGGCAUAAGCCAGCUUGACUGCGAGCGUGACGGCGCGAGCAGGUGCGAAAGCAGGUCAUAGUGAUCCGGUGGUUCUGAAUGGAAGGGCCAUCGCUCAACGGAUAAAAGGUACUCCGGGGAUAACAGGCUGAUACCGCCCAAGAGUUCAUAUCGACGGCGGUGUUUGGCACCUCGAUGUCGGCUCAUCACAUCCUGGGGCUGAAGUAGGUCCCAAGGGUAUGGCUGUUCGCCAUUUAAAGUGGUACGCGAGCUGGGUUUAGAACGUCGUGAGACAGUUCGGUCCCUAUCUGCCGUGGGCGCUGGAAGACUGAGGGGGGCUGCUCCUAGUACGAGAGGACCGGAGUGGACGCAUCACUGGUGUUCGGGUUGUCAUGCCAAUGGCACUGCCCGGUAGCUAAAUGCGGAAGAGAUAAGUGCUGAAAGCAUCUAAGCACGAAACUUGCCCCGAGAUGAGUCUUCCCUGAGACUUUAAGUCUCCUGAAGGAACGUUAAAGACGAUGACGUUGAUAGGCCGGGGGUGUAAGCGCAGCGAUGCGUUGAGCUAACCGGUACUAAUGAACCGUGAGGCUUAACCUUACAACGCCGAAGCUGUU